rnacentral:pre_miRNA from 1 species
AUAUUUACUUCUCUAGUUGUAGGACUUCCGUUCAGGCAGCAUUCCGGCAGUUCUGAAUGAUGGCUGUUCUAUAUUUUAGUUGUAAUUUUGACG